AUUUUUGUUUCUUUCGUUGGAUCCCACAUUUCCUAUUGUACCUCCAUCAUGCGCAAACUACUUCAAAGCAGUUCCGGUCUAACUUAUUUCAGGAUAUUUCUGUGUAGCAUCCUUUCUCGGAGGAUCAUCUCAGAACACACUGAAGGGACUACAGAUGUUCAAUGUAGACUUCCAGGGUGGGGUAGGGGGCUGUCUUCCUGCCUUGGACCACAUCGCUCUGUCUCUCCCCUUCUAGCAACGGCUCCAUAGUGACAGAAGUUGAUCUUCUGUUUAAUGAGGGACAGGAGCCGCUCAGCGUGUCAGCCGUGCUGAAGGUGCUAUACGCCACCCUUACUAACAACUCCAACAGCCCCUUCCCUCUCAGGAUCAUACUGAUGUCCAUACAAGUGUUCGAGGAGAUCUCCAUAUCUGUGAACCUCUCCCUUGUCCUCCCGUCGGCAUCUGUGUUGGACCCCAACUCCCUGUUACACAGAAACAUCAGUGCCGCUCUUGACAACUGGCUGAAGCUUGUUCUUAGCAGACUUCUUGGGAAUACAAGCAAGGCAUUAUCUAUAAAAUUCAGUGAUGCGCAUGGAUGGGCGGAUGCCUCGCUGCACUAUCAACUCAAAACCCAAAUGCCCAUGUCAAAUAACAUUAUAGCUGCGGCCAUCCUCACCUCCCAGAGUCCCUUCUUGUAUUUGAAGCACCUGCUUUCAGUCAGUGGUUUUCAGGCCCAAUUUGAUUCAUUUCCAUUGCUUAUGAGGAUCACCAGUCUGAACUUCUCAGAGGAUCUUUCCAAGCGGGGAUCAGAGCACUUCGGCAUCUACAGCACAUAUAUUCGUACUUCAGUGAGAAAGCUUUACAAAAACACCGAGGGAUUUAAUGAUGUCUAUGUUACUAACAUGACGGCUGGGUCUCUGGUGGCCCAUCUCAUUGCGGUUUUUGAGAGGAACACAAGCACCCUGCUCUCUGUCACUGAGGUUCUGAAAUUGGGUCUGGCCCAGUUGGAGAUGGAUGGGCUCACUGUGGACCCUGCAACACUGGGCAUUGUGCCCCCUUCCUCCAUUCCUCCCACACCAUGGCGUUUUCCAGGGUACGCUGUGGCCAUCCUUGUCAUGUGCGGUAUUGUCCUCAUCCUGCUUCCUCUGGCUCUAUUUGUGGUGAGUGUUUGUCCCUAGGAUACGUC
rnacentral:lncRNA from 1 species